rnacentral:rRNA from 1 species
GUCGGCGAUCAUAUCACGUUGAAAGCACCGGUUCUCGUCCCAUCACCGAAGUUAAGCAACGUUGGGCACGGUUAGUACUUGCAUAGGUGACCGGCUGGAAAUACCGAUUAUUGCCGGCU